rnacentral:misc_RNA from 1 species
UUGAAACAGACAAUGUCGAAGGUGGUGUUGACACAGGAAUUGGCAUGACCCUAGGAGUCCUAUUCUCUUCAUCUGCGACACAAGUCUUCAAAGGGGUAGUAGCAAGGAAGGACAGUUCAUUAAUUCCAAGUGUCUUCUUAGUCGUAUCGGUAUGUGCUGCGGUCACAUCUUCUAAUACGUUAGCUUUUGAUGAUCCUGUAGAAGAAAUUGGUGAGAAAGGUUUCCGAAGCAUUGGUGACUCUGGUUCAUGAGCAUUUACAGUAUUGAAGGAACGUAUUUU